rnacentral:rRNA from 1 species
GGCACUAAGCCAUGCAUAUGUGAGAACGCGGCUUGCCGACAUUCUGUGGAUGGCUCAUUAAAAGAGUUAGAAACCCAAUGGACAUUGCACUCCGAGGAUACCGCUACUAACUGUAGCACUAAUACUUACGCCACUCGGUGUCUCGCUCAUGAGAGAGGGACAUCUUCAAGCAUGGUUUCGACCUAAGAGAACCCUUGAUGUAAAUCAAUGGUUGUCUAGAGGUCUUACUCAUCUAUCAAUGCUAGUCGGUUGAAUAGAGGUCAACCGAGGCGACUACGGAUACGGAGAAUCAGUGUUCGAUUCCGGAGAGGGAGCAUGACAAACGGCUACCAUGUCUAAGGACAGCAGCAGGCGCGAAAAUUACCCAAUCAUAACACCUUAUUGAGGUAGCGACAACCUAUAGUGACCUCGUACUAUUGUGCGAGGGAGCACGCAAGUGCUUGCAAUGGGUUCAUUGUAAAUAACUGAACGAGUAACAAUUGGAGGGCAAGUCUGGU